ACCAAGGGUCUGGGAUAACCCCGGGAAACUGGGGAUAAUACCGGAUGGGUCACUACUUCUGGAAUGGGUGGUGACUGAAAGGCGACGCCCUUGGAUGGGUCUGCGGCGGAUUAGGUUGACGCCGGUGUAACGUACCGGCGUGCCUGUAAUCCGUACGGGUUGUGGGAGCAAGAGCCCGGAGAUGGAUUCUGAGACACGAAUCCAGGCCCUACGGGGCGCAGCAGGCGCGAAAACUCUACAAUGCAGGCAACUGCGAUAGGGGGACAUCGAGUGGCACCCACCUUGGGUGCCUGUCCCACCGUCUAAAAAACGGUGGUUAGCAAGGGCCGGGUAAGACCGGUGCCAGCCGCCGCGGUAAUACCGGCGGCUCGAGUGGUGGCCGAUAUUAUUGAGUCUAAAGGGUCCGUAGCCGGCUUUGCAAGUCCCCCGGGAAAUCCAGCGGCUUAACCGUUGGGCUUCCGUGGGAUACUACAUUGCUUGGGACUGGGAGAGGUAGGAGGUACUCCGGGGGUAGGGGUGAAAUCCUGUAAUCCUCCGGGGACCACCGGUGGCGAAAGCGUCCUACCAGAACAAGUCCGACGGUUGAGGGACGAAAGCUAGGGGCACGAACCGGAUUAGAUACCCGGGUAGUCCUAGCCGUAAACGAUGCCCGCUAGGUGUCACGGCAGUCGUGAAUUGCCGUGGUGCCGUAGGGAAGCCGCGAAGCGGGCCACUUGGGAAGUACGGCCGCAAGGCUGAAACUUAA
rnacentral:rRNA from 1 species